AAUGGGGGAUAACUAGUCGAAAGAUUGGCUAAUACCGCAUACGCCCUGAGGGGGAAAGCUGGGGAUCUUCGGACCUAGCGUUAAUGGAGCGGCCGAUAUCGGAUUAGCUAGUUGGUGGGGUAAAGGCCUACCAAGGCGACGAUCCGUAGCUGGUCUGAGAGGACGACCAGCCACACUGGAACUGAGACACGGUCCAGACUCCUACGGGAGGCAGCAGUGGGGAAUUUUGGACAAUGGGGGCAACCCUGAUCCAGCCAUUCCGCGUGAGUGAAGAAGGCCUUCGGGUUGUAAAGCUCUUUCGCAAGGGAAGAAACGUUACGAGCGCAUAACUCGUGAUAAUGACGGUACCUUGAUAAGAAGCACCGGCUAACUACGUGCCAGCAGCCGCGGUAAUACGUAGGGUGCGAGCGUUAAUCGGAAUUACUGGGCGUAAAGCGUGCGCAGGCGGUUUGAAAAGUCAGAUGUGAAAUCCCCGGGCUCAACCUGGGAACUGCGUUUGAAACUCUCAAGCUAGAAUAGGUCAGAGGGGGGUAGAAUUCCACGUGUAGCAGUGAAAUGCGUAGAGAUGUGGAGGAAUACCAAUGGCGAAGGCAGCCCCCUGGGAUCAUAUUGACGCUCAUGCACGAAAGCGUGGGGAGCAAACAGGAUUAGAUACCCUGGUAGUCCGCGCCCUAAACGAUGUCUACUAGUUGUUGGUGGAGUAAAAUCCAUGAGUAACGCAGCUAACGCGUGAAGUAGACC
rnacentral:rRNA from 1 species